UACAUUCCCACCAAAUAUCAAGUUCAAACUCAACUUUAUUUAGGAGUAACAGAAAAGACAUUUUGGGUGAAUGGUAACAUGACACUAUUCACCUAGAAUUUCUCUUUUUUGUUUCUCUCAAAUGAAGCUAAGUUUGGACUUGAGAUUUGGUAUGAAUGUA
rnacentral:pre_miRNA from 1 species